rnacentral:rRNA from 1 species
AACGAACGCUGGCGGCAUGCCUAACACAUGCAAGUCGAACGAGACCUUCGGGUCUAGUGGCGCACGGGUGCGUAACGCGUGGGAACCUGCCCUUAGGUUCGGAAUAACUCCCCGAAAGGGGUGCUAAUACCGGAUAAUGUCUUCGGACCAAAGAUUUAUCGCCCUUGGAUGGGCCCGCGUUGGAUUAGCUAGUUGGUAGGGUAAAAGCCUACCAAGGCGACGAUCCAUAGCUGGUCUGAGAGGAUGAUCAGCCACACUGGGACUGAGACACGGCCCAGACUCCUACGGGAGGCAGCAGUGGGGAAUAUUGGACAAUGGGCGAAAGCCUGAUCCGGCAAUGCCGCGUGAGUGAUGAAGGCCCUAGGGUUGUAAAGCUCUUUUACCCGGGAUGAUAAUGACAGUACCGGGAGAAUAAGCUCCGGCUAACUCCGUG